AUGUAUGUAUAUGUGUGAGUGUAUGAACAACAUAUGUACAUAAGAAAGCUGAGAAAUUGAAAUGCGAAGUUCGGAAGUUCGAAAAGUGUGGAGAAAGAAAUAGCAAAACCAAUGAAUCGCAAUGAGACUAUUGAAUUAUAUGGAAAACUAGAGGUACCAAUAAUUGUUAACUGGUUUUACCAUAAAAGUCGCGACUUAGGCUAAGCGGGGAUAGCACCCUAUAAAUCAGUCAAGUCAUUUCCUGGUGAUACCUGUACCCCCGGAGGAAGCCGUUCAUUAUGGCGUUGGAUAUAUGACUAUGCCUCUUAGACCA